GACGAACGCUGGCGGCGUGCUUAACACAUGCAAGUCGAACGGAAAGGCCCUGCUUUUGUGGGGUGCUCGAGUGGCGAACGGGUGAGUAACACGUGAGUAACCUGCCCUUGACUUUGGGAUAACUUCAGGAAACUGGGGCUAAUACUGGAUAGGAGCUCCUGCUGCAUGAUGGGGGUUGGAAAGUUUCGGCGGUUGGGGAUGGACUCGCGGCUUAUCAGCUUGUUGGUGGGGUAGUGGCUUACCAAGGCUUUGACGGGUAGCCGGCCUGAGAGGGUGACCGGCCACAUUGGGACUGAGAUACGGCCCAGACUCCUACGGGAGGCAGCAGUGGGGAAUAUUGCACAAUGGGCGGAAGCCUGAUGCAGCAACGCCGCGUGCGGGAUGACGGCCUUCGGGUUGUAAACCGCUUUCGCCUGUGAUGAAGCGUGAGUGACGGUAAUGGGUAAAGAAGCACCGGCUAACUACGUG
rnacentral:rRNA from 1 species